AUGUUUCCGCAAUCAGGGACGAAUAGCUCAGUAAAACUGCGAUGAUUUAGUCUGGCUGUGUAGAUAACUACGUGAAAAUGUAGCUAAGGGAAGGCAGAAUAAGACGCAGGACUAUCAGUUAGUUGGUAGUGUAAUGGACUACCAAGACAGUGACGGUUGACGGGAAAUUAGGGUUUUGUACCGGAGAGGGAGCCUGAGAGAUUGCUCCCACGUCCAAGGACGGCAGCAGGCGCGAAAAUUGCCCACUCUUUGCAGGAGGCAGUUAUGAGACGUGAAGAUGAGUAUCUUGUAAAGAGGGAUAGGAGAAUUGGAGGGCAAGUUUGGUGCCAGCAGCCGCGGUAAUACCGACUCCAAGAGUGUGUAUGAGAGAUGCUGCAGUUAAAAAGUCCGUAGUCAUAGAAGGGCAAAGAGAGAUGCGAGGUCUCACAGUGCGAUGAUGGAGGAGCCGAUGGGGAACAUAGUAUACCAGGGCGAGAGAUGAAAUGCCAAGACCCCUGGUGGACUGAGCGAGGCGAAGGCGAUGUUCUUGUAGGCAUUCGGUGAUCAAGGACGAAGGCUGGAGUAUCGAAAGUGAUUAGAUACCGCAGUAGUUCCAGCAGUAAAAGAUGCCGACAUGCUCAUUGGACACAGUGGGCAGGGAGAAAUCUUAGAGUU
rnacentral:rRNA from 1 species